UACGGGGGGGGUAAGCGUUGUUCGGAAUUACUGGGCGUAAAGCGUGCGUAGGUGGUUUGUUAAGUCUGUUGUGAAAGCCCCGGGCUCAACCUGGGAAUGGCAAUGGAUACUGGCAAGCUAGAGUGCGGUAGAGGGUAGUGGAAUUCCCGGUGUAGCGGUGAAAUGCGUAGAGAUCGGGAGGAACACCAGUGGCGAAGGCGGCUACCUGGACCAGCACUGACACUGAGGCACGAAAGCGUGGGUAGCAAACAGG
rnacentral:rRNA from 1 species